rnacentral:rRNA from 1 species
GACGAACGCUGGCGGCGUGCCUAACACAUGCAAGUCGAGCGGAGUCGAUCGACGGAAGCCUUCGGGCGGAAGAUGGUUGACUUAGCGGCGGAUGGGUGAGUAACGCGUGGGCAACCUGCCUCGAAGACCGGGAUAACAGCCCGAAAGGGCUGCUAAUACCGGAUGUGGUCAAGGAUCCGCAUGGAUUUUUGAUUAAAGGGGAAACCCGUUUCGAGAUGGGCCCGCGUCCUAUCAGCUAGUUGGUGAGGUAAAAGCUCACCAAGGCGACGACGGGUAGCCGGCCUGAGAGGGUGACCGGCCACACUGGAACUGAGACACGGUCCAGACUCCUACGGGGGGCAGCAGUGGGGAAUCUUCCACAAUGGGCGAAAGCCUGAUGGAGCGACGCCGCGUGAGCGAAGAAGGCCUUCGGGUUGUAAAGCUCUGUCUGGAGGGACGAAGGAAGGUGACGGUACCUCCGGAGGAAGCCACGGCUAACUACGUG